rnacentral:rRNA from 1 species
GAUGAACGCUGGCGGCGUGCCUAAUAUAUGCAAGUCGAGCGAAUGGAUUAAGAGCUUGCUCUUAUGAAGUUAGUGGCGGACGGGUGAGUAACACGUGGGUAACCUGCCCAUAAGACUGGGAUAACUCCGGGAAACCGGGGCUAAUACCGGAUAACAUUUUGAACCGCAUGGUUCGAAAUUGAAAGGCGGCUUCGGCUGUCACUUAUGGAUGGACCCGCGUCGCAUUAGCUAGUUGGUGAGGUAACGGCUCACCAAGGCAACGAUGCGUAGCCGACCUGAGAGGGUGAUCGGCCACACUGGGACUGAGACACGGCCCAGACUCCUACGGGAGGCAGCAGUAGGGAAUCCUCCGCAAUGGACGAAAGUCUGACGGAGCAACGCCGCGUGAGUGAUGAAGGCUUUCGGGUCGUAAAACUCUGUUGUUAGGGAAGAACAAGUGCUAGUUGAAUAAGCUGGCACCUUGACGGUACCUAACCAGAAAGCCACGGCUAACUGCGUGCCAGCCGCCGCAGUAA